CCAAACAAGCCCACCAUUCCUCAGGAGAAAAUCCGACCAUUGACCAGUUUGGACCACCCACAGAGCCCCUUCUACGACCCUGAGGGAGGGGCAAUUACUCCCAUCGCCAAGCUGGUGAUGGAACGCAUCGCUAGAAAGGGAGAGCAGUGCAAUGUGGUCCCAGACAACAUAGAUGACAUCGUAGCUGAUAUUGGACAGGAGGACAAGGAGGAAGAUGACAACCAA